UACGUAGGGUGCAAGCGUUAAUCGGAAUUACUGGGCGUAAAGCGUGCGCAGGCGGUUUUGCAAGCCGGAUGUGAAAUCCCCGGGCUCAACCUGGGAAUGGCAUUCGGGACUGCAAGGCUGGAGUGCGGCAGAGGAGACUGGAAUUCCUGGUGUAGCAGUGAAAUGCGUAGGUAUCAGGAGGAAUACCGAUGGCGAAGGCAGGUCUCUGGGCUGACACUGACGCUCAUGCACGAAAGCGUGGGGAGCAAACAGG
rnacentral:rRNA from 1 species